GGUUGUGUAGUGUAGAGGUUAUCACCGUUGAUUCUGAUUCAACUAACCCUGGUUCGAAUCCAGGCUCGACCA
rfam:Pachysolen tannophilus NRRL Y-2460 unplaced genomic scaffold PACTA_scaffold_3, whole genome shotgun sequence.